UACGUAGGGUGCGAGCGUUGUCCGGAAUUAUUGGGCGUAAAGAGCUUGUAGGCGGUUUGUCGCGUCUGCUGUGAAAAUCCGGGGCUCAACCCCGGACUUGCAGUGGGUACGGGCACACUAGAGUGUGGUAGGGGAGACUGGAAUUCCUGGUGUAGCGGUGAAAUGCGCAGAUAUCAGGAGGAACACCGGUGGCGAAGGCGGAUCUCUGGGCCAUUACUGACGCUGAGGAGCGAAAGCGUGGGGAGCGAACAGG
rnacentral:rRNA from 1 species